rnacentral:rRNA from 1 species
CAAUAGCGUAUAUUAAAGUUGUUGCAGUUAAAAAGCUCGUAGUUGGAUUUCUGUUCUUGGGAUCUGGUCCGCCUCACGGUGAGCACUGGAUAACUGGGGACAUCCUCUCAAAGGCGGCAGGUGCACUUGAUUGUGUGUUUGUUGAAUUCGGGACCUUUACUUUGAAAAAAUUAGAGUGUUCAAAGCAGGCGUCGGCUUGAAUACAUUAGCAUGGAAUAAUGGAAUAGGACUUUGGUUCUAUUUUGUUGGUUUCUAGGACCGAAGUAAUGAUUAAUAGGGACAGUUGGGGGCAUUAGUAUUUAAUUGUCAGAGGUGAAAUUCUUGGAUUUAUGAAAGACUAACUACUGCGAAAGCAUUUGCCAAGGAUGUUUUCAUUAA